GACGAACCGUGCGAACGUUGUUCGGAAUCACUGGGCUUAAAGGGCGCGUAGGCGGGCCUCCAAGUCCGGGGUGAAAUCCUCCCGCCCAACGGGAGAAGAGCCUCGGAGACUGGGGGCCUCGAGGGAGGUAGGGGCGUGCGGAACUAUGGGUGGAGCGGUGAAAUGCAUUGAUAUCCAAUAGGAACUCCGGUGGCGAAGGCGGC
rnacentral:rRNA from 1 species